GGAACAUAAAAAUAAAUGCACAUAUUAAGCUUAACUGAGUGUGCUAAAUACAUUGUAUGAAUUUACAUAAUUUCACUCAUAACGCAGUACUAUCUUUCAAAGUCAGCAGCGAACUCGUUUACAACAUACGUGUCCUGUUGUGUAUCUGUAACAGGAACACUACCUGCUACCAGAAGAUCAACCGGUCUUGUGGCUGGUUUGCCGGCGCCAUUUUGGAGUGGAAUACUGCCGCCUAGAGUUCAAAAUGGAGCUCAUAUCGAUUGAGGAACGUGUGUCUCCUGAGUCAGCAUGGAAGCGACCAGGAAAGCUGAGGAGAGCGAUGGUGUACGGUGGAAGCUCCGCCCACGGAGACCAAACAGCGUCGUCUGGCCUUGUGAGGUCACAUGCAGCUGUGUAAUAGGAUCAUUUGUGACCAAUUCGUUUGUGAAAGCAGCACCACCCAGUGGCUAAAAGUGUCGGUGCAAUAAGGAGGGAAACAAACACUUGCUGACACGCAAAUUGAAUUUCCAGCCCGAUGGCAGCUGCCUGAUAAACAGGCUGCAGGUGAGGAUGAGGAGGAAGAUGUCCAAUCCUAACCAGAGGAACGUGCUCAAGUGCUUUGUAAUGGGGACCUGCCCAAAUGGGCCCAAUUGUUGGAGCGGCCUCAGUUGUGAGCUGACAGGACCAAUGAAUGUGUGUGUGUGUGUGUGUGUGUGUGUGUGGAUGGCGCCAUGCUUCAUCGUCCCAGGUAGAGGCACAGCUGAUUUAAAGCAACAGCCGUCACUUAAUCAGCGUCACAGUGCCUUGACUGCAGCAGCGGCUGGGUUAUAUAAUGCAUGAGUGUGGGAUUCCCAGCAGAGGGGCGGCAGGGGAGCAUAAUGGAUGACUGCAGAGGGAGGCCGCUAUUGAUGUUUGCGAUUGUGAUCAUGAGUGCGAGGCCUCGGCUUGGGCUGCAGCUCCUCCACUCUUCAAUAAUCCGAUAAAGACGGCCGGCCUCUCAGAAGGGCAUCCCUGCUUCUCCAAGCGCUAUUUGGUCCGCUUCUCCACCGUACAGUUUGGAACGGGGAAACUCUGACCCAGUUUUCAAUGAAUUCGAUUCAGAAGAUCAAGAUUCUAGAUGGUAAUAAACAACACAGACAACAUCAGUUUGAAGCCCUUUUGAGGCGCCUUUGUGAUUAAGGGCUGCACGUCGGUUGAGUGGUUAGCUAGGAGAACGGAGUUCCGGAGUUCAAUCCCACCCUCGGCCAUCUCUGUGUGGAGUUACAAGUUCAGGGAAGGGCUGCACGGCGGUUGAGUCGUUAGCGCACAGACCUCACAGCUAGGAGACAGGGGUUCAAUUCCACCCUCGGCCAUCUCUGUGUGGAGUUUGCAUGCACAUUCCAAAAACAUGCUAAUGUGCAAAAACACACUAA